UAUGGAUCACUGAUCAGGUUGAAGUCAUGGGGAAACCCUGAUGGAGGACCGAAGCAAUUCUGACGUGCAAAUCGAUUGUCAGAAUUGGGCAUAGGGGCGAAAGAUCAAUCGAACCAUCUAGUA
rnacentral:ncRNA from 1 species